rnacentral:rRNA from 1 species
GAUGAACGCUAGCGGCAGGCCUAACACAUGCAAGUCGAGGGAGAAGCCCUUUCGGGGGCAGAAACCGGCGCACGGGUGCGUAACGCGUAUGCAACCUACCUUUCACAGGGGGAUAGCCCGAAGAACUUUGGAUUAAUACCCCAUAAUAUUAUUGGAUGGCAUCAUUUGAUAAUUAAAACUGCGGUGGUGAAAGAUGGGCAUGCGUCCUAUUAGCUAGUUGGAGUGGUAACGGCACCCCAAGGCUACGAUAGGUAGGGGUCCUGAGAGGGAGAUCCCCCACACUGGUACUGAGACAGGGACCAGACUCCUACGGGAGGCAGCAGUGAGGAAUAUUGGUCAAUGGUCGGAAGACUGAACCAGCCAUGCCGCGUGCAGGAAGAAUGCCUUAUGGGUUGUAAACUGCUUUUAUAUGGGAAGAAUAAGGCGUACGUGUACGUUGAUGACGGUACCAUAUGAAUAAGCAUCGGCUAACUCCGUG